rnacentral:rRNA from 1 species
UUAAUUGAAGAGUUUGAUCAUGGCUCAGAUUGAACGCUGGCGGCAGGCCUAACACAUGCAAGUCGAGCGGUAACAUUUCAAAAGCUUGCUUUUGAAGAUGACGAGCGGCGGACGGGUGAGUAAUGCCUGGGAAUUUGCCCAUUUGUGGGGGAUAACAGUUGGAAACGACUGCUAAUACCGCAUACGCCCUACGGGGGAAAGCAGGGGACCUUCGGGCCUUGCGCUGAUGG